AACCUCAAACAGAGGAUAACUCUUCCCCCUUCUCCACAUAGUAGGCCUUCAAGCAGCCACCAACAAAGAGUGCGUCAAAGCUCUAUUCCCCCAAAAAUCUAAAAACACCAUGAGUCCCUUAUUACUAACAGGCUAACCUAUAAUGAUAGGAGAAUUAAUGCUAAAAUGAGUAACCAGGGAAUCCCCUCCUCGAGCGCAAACUUACAUUACCCAAUUAUUAACAGAUUACAAUACCCCAACUCCAACUAGACUAUAAUAUUACCUUUCCCCCUGUUACCCCGACCCAGGAGCGCCCAUUAGAAAGAUUAAAAUCUGUAAAAGGAACUAGGCAAGCCCAAGGCCCGACUGUUUACCAAAAACAUAGCCUUCAGCCCAUCAAGUAUUGAAGGUGAUGCCUGCCCAGUGACAUAACGUCCAACGGCCGCGGCAUCCUAACCGUGCGAAGGUAGCGCAAUCAAUUGUCUCAUAAAUCGAGACCUGUAUGAAUGGCUAAACGAGGUCUUAACUGUCUCUUUCAGAUAAUCAGUGAAAUUGAUCUUCCCGUGCAAAAGCAGGAAUAAAAGCACAAGACGAGAAGACCCUGUGGAACUUAAAAAUCAGCAGCCACUUUACAAAAAGUCCAAACCUAUAAGGCCCAAACAUCACAAACUCUGGCCUGCAUUUUUCGGUUGGGGCGACCUUGGAGAAAAACAGACCCUCCAAUAAAAUAAGACCUCCCUCUUAACCAAGAGCAACCCCUCAACGUACCAACAGUAAACCAGACCCAGUACAACUGACCAAUGAACCAAGCUACCCCAGGGAUAACAGCGCAAUCCCCCUUAAGAGCCCAUAUCGACAGGGGGGUUU
rnacentral:rRNA from 1 species